ensembl:lncRNA
UGGAGCAAGCGUGUACGUCUGCAGACUGCAAGACAGGGGCGUAACUUGAAAGAGGCGUAACUUGAAGUAGGAGGCGUAACUUGAAGUUGUCGAAAUCUCACAGAAUCACGCGAGAUGUCAAAACGAUAAGUUGUUGAUUACGUUUUUUAAGGGAAGCAGAGGUUUUAGGCAGGAUUUGAUGCAUAAGGUGUGUGUAGAUAUUAAUGUUAGGGGAGAAUGUGAGUGAUGUGUACAUUUAGUAGGAAAACCUAUUAUCUGAUCCACACUCCGGGACAGAAGAGGGCGGUAUUGCACCAAUAAGCUGGAUGCCAACCGCCGUUAAACUGGAAAGAAGUUACAAUGAGUUACAAUGGAACAGAUUAUGUUUGUCUGCUGUAGAGUGACUGAAGAAGGAAUGCUGCCAUCAAAGGAUUUGUGUUAUGAAAAUGUCUGCAGACUGGUGUGUGCACUGAGGAUGGAGAAGUCCACUGCAGCAUCUGAAAAUGGUCCAGAGACACGGAUGAGACGCUCCAUCACUCCAGCUCUUACUGUCUCAUCAGGACCAGAUGCUGCUGUGGUCUCUUCAUCCUCAGUGACCCCUGAGCAGCGAGAGCAUCUAGAGAAAGACCAAAAGACACUGAGGAUUUGAUUUUGGUAAAGUUUGUUCUGCUGGUUUCUGUUUAUACGAUGAAGGCUGACUUUCAAAAGCAUCAUCAAAAAAUGUGAUGGAG